UACGGAGGGGACUAGCGUUGUUCGGAAUUACUGGGCGUAAAGCGCACGUAGGCGGAUUUGUUAGUCAGGGGUGAAAUCCCGAGGCUCAACCUCGGAACUGCCUUUGAUACUGCAAAUCUCGAGUCCGGAAGAGGUGAGUGGAAUUCCUAGUGUAGAGGUGAAAUUCGUAGAUAUUCGGAAGAACACCAGUGGCGAAGGCGACUCGCUGGACAAGUAUUGACGCUGAGGUGCGAAAGCGUGGGGAGCAAACAGG
rnacentral:rRNA from 1 species